rnacentral:lncRNA from 1 species
GAGGAUGUUUGUAACACCCAGUGUUAGUGACAACUUCAAUUAAGACAUUAAGAGGCUAACGAUGAAUUUGGAUUAAAGGAAGGUAAAUUGAGCCAAAAAUCAAAUUCGAGCCGAAUUCGGCCAAAUUUGCAAUUUGGAGUUUCAAAUUUGGAUAAAUUUGGCAAAAGUAGGAAGUUGAGACUUGAGAGUAUUUAGAACUCAAGAGAGUGAAGCUUGGGAUCUAAUUCAAGUCAUAAACCUCUUGGAAAUAUAAUCGAAGAAGGAAUCAACAAAGUUACUAUUUCCC